rnacentral:rRNA from 1 species
CCCUGAUCCAGCCAUGCCGCGUGUGUGAAGAAGGCCUUUUGGUUGUAAAGCACUUUAAGCAGUGAAGAAGACCUAACGGUUAAUACCCGUUAGCGAUGACAUUAGCUGCAGAAUAAGCACCGGCUAACUCUGUGCCAGCAGCCGCGGUAAUACAGAGGGUGCAAGCGUUAAUCGGAAUUACUGGGCGUAAAGCGAGCGUAGGUGGCUUGAUAAGUCAGAUGUGAAAUCCCCGGGCUUAACCUGGGAACUGCAUCUGAAACUGUUAGGCUAGAGUAGGUGAGAGGGAAGUAGAAUUUCAGGUGUAGCGGUGAAAUGCGUAGAGAUCUGAAGGAAUACCGAUGGCGAAGGCAGCUUCCUGGCAUCAUACUGACACUGAGGCUCGAAAGCGUGGGUAGCAAACAGGAUUAGAUACCCUGGUAGUCCACGCCGUAAACGAUGUCUACUAGUCGUUGGGUCCCUUGAGGACUUAGUGACGCAGCUAACGCAAUAAGUAGACCGCCUGGGGAGUACGGCCGCAAGGUUAAAACUCAAAUGAAUUGACGGGGGCCCGCACAAGCGGUGGAGCAUGUGGUUUAAUUCGAUGCAACGCGAAGAACCUUACCUGGUCUUGACAUACACAGAAUCUUGUAGAGAUACGAGAGUGC